rnacentral:rRNA from 1 species
UCGAGAAUCUUCCGCAAUGGACGAAAGUCUGACGGAGCGACGCCGCGUGCGGGACGAAGGCCUUCGGGUUGUAAACCGCUGUCAGGGGGGAACAAUCACUGAGUGAUCCCCAAAGGAAGCACGGGCUAAGUUCGUGCCAGCAGCCGCGGUAAGACGAACCGUGCGAACGUUGUUCGGAAUCACUGGGCUUAAAGGGCGCGUAGGCGGGUGGCAAUGUCCGAGGUGAAAGCCUUCAGCUCAACUGGAGAAGUGCCUCGGAUACUGGCCGUCUUGAGGGAGGUAGGGGCAGUUGGAACUUCCAGUGGAGCGGUGAAAUGCGUUGAUAUUGGAAGGAACGCCGGUGGCGAAAGCGAACUGCUGGACCUCUUCUGACGCUGAGGCGCGAAAGCUAGGGUAGCGAAGAGGAUUAGAUACCCCCGUAGUCC